rnacentral:rRNA from 1 species
CAUGCCGCGUGUAUGAAGAAGGCCUUCGGGUUGUAAAGUACUUUCAGUCGUGAGGAAGGGGGUAAGCUUAAUACGCUUAUCUCUUGACGUUAGCGACAGAAGAAGCACCGGCUAACUCCGUGCCAGCAGCCGCGGUAAUACGGAGGGUGCGAGCGUUAAUCGGAAUUACUGGGCGUAAAGCGCAUGCAGGUGGUUCAAUAAGUCAGAUGUGAAAGCCCGGGGCUCAACCUCGGAACUGCAUUUGAAACUGUUGGACUAGAGUACUGUAGAGGGGGGUAGAAUUUCAGGUGUAGCGGUGAAAUGCGUAGAGAUCUGAAGGAAUACCAGUGGCGAAGGCGGCCCCCUGGACAGAUACUGACACUCAGAUGCGAAAGCGUGGGGAGCAAACAGGAUUAGAUACCCUGGUAGUCCACGCCGUAAACGAUGUCUACUUGGAGGUUGUGGCCUUGAGCCGUGGCUUUCGGAGCUAACGCGUUAAGUAGACCGCCUGGGGAGUACGGUCGCAAGAUUAAAACUCAAAUGAAUUGACGGGGGCCCGCACAAGCGGUGGAGCAUGUGGUUUAAUUCGAUGCAACGCGAAGAACCUUACCUACUCUUGACAUCUACAGAAUCCAGCGGAGACGCAGGNGUGCCUUCGGGAACUGUAAGACAGGUGCUGCAUGGCUGUCGUCAGCUCGUGUUGUGAAAUGUUGGGUUAAGUCCCGCAACGAGCGCA